GGGGCUGAACUGGAUUCGACAGCGUUGCAAAGUGGUACGUAAGCAUGCAGAGCAUCGGUAUGCCGGCUCUUUAAUCUCGGGUACUAACCUAUAACUGGCAACAAUUCUUACGCUCUCGCUGCUUAAUCGAAUAAUAGUAGAUUAGCUUCAUCCUUACCACAGUGGUUUGGACGAGACGUCUCCCAAAUGCCCUCUCCUCGAGGCGGUUUGAUAUGGAGGCGCAGAUAAAUCGAGGAUAGCCUGCGGCGUGCUCCUCGCCAAGGGCGAAAUUCUAAAGAGAUAAGGUGAGGCAAUGGGCGCCAUCUCCCAAACCCCACUCGAAAAUCAAUAGCUGGAUAAGCAUGUAGAAAGCGUAUGACUUCAAUGUUUGGACUGGGGUUCGAUCCCCCACAGCUCCACU
rnacentral:tmRNA from 1 species